UGAGUUGCAGGGGGAAGUCCAGCAUGGGGUCUAAGGGGCUACUGGUGUGGGCAAGGACAACAGGUUCACCAAAGGGGCCAAAUGCUGUCAGAGAUCAGGGUGUACAAGGGACACCCAGAGAGAUGAACAAAAGUUAUGGCCAGCAGGGGGGUGAUUGUGUAAACUGUGGAGUUAGCACAUCUGCCCUACGUAGUGAAUUGGAAGUGUUGAAGCGACGCCUGCUGGAUCGUGACGUGGCCAUAGUACAGCUGGAAGCACAGAUGGCACAGGACAGGCCUGAUCACUACCCACAAGGUCAGGUGGCUGUCCUGAGAGCACAGUGUGAUCACUGGCAGGAUAAAUAUGACAGGCUUCUUGAGGCUCACAAACGACUACAGAAGGUGAACCAAGGUCUUGAAGAUAAGCUAUUGCGUUUGGUGGACCGCACCGAGAGUGAGAAGUCUAGUUUGGCUGCUGACACUGCCAGCCUCACCACAGCCCUCACCACAGCUGCACAGGCUAUUAACAGACUUAAACAGGAAAAUGACCGGUACAAGAAUGAUCUUAAUCUGGCUAUCCAGUUACUUCAGUGUAAUCCAUCAAAGUAUGCUUCUCACAAACUGGACUCUCUUCCAUCAGAUGUCCAAAAGAAGGCCAAAUUUCGUCUUGCAAGGGAACCUCGGGACAACCCUAAGCCAGAAAUUAAAGUGAUCAAAGUUCCAAUCCCAACUUUCCCACCAACUGCAAUGGUUUAUUCAGUUAAUAAAUAUUCAGAGGAAAAUGAGAAGGAAGAGCCAGUUGAUGCUGUAUCUGCAGCCAUUAUGGCUGCUGUUUUAGAGGAAAGGCAGCGUGAGAGAGCCAAGCGUCAUUGUUCUACAUGUUCCUGUGGUUCGCCAAGAACUGACACUGAGAAUGAUGUUCUUCAAACAGAAGACAGAGAGCUCAAUGGAAAUAGUCCAAGUAACUAUGUAUUUCAUCAAGAGGAGGAAUUCAGUAGGAAUAUUAAUCCAAUGUUCAAGGUAAAUAUAGUGGAUGUUGGAACACAGGUGCUACCUUCAUAUAUUGGUGAAACAGGCAAGGUACAGUCCACCUGCAUUUAUUGUCAGUCUUGUAAAAAUACGUCCUCUGAAAAAUUCACUUCACUUGAACCGGUUUCUAGUAAGGCAAUGAAUCUAUCUCAUCACUCGAGAUCCAAAAGUCAGCCAAUAAAUCAAGUAUCAUUGCAGAUGGAUGAAAAUCAUUCUGUAAUAAAAACUAGUGAUCCAAUAUCUCCUGACAGUGUGUUGAAGAGUCCAACAGUAAAGAGCUUCAUCUUUGGCACCCACUCAGGAAGUGCUUGGGACUGGGCAGCUGAAGGGCAUGAUUCAGGGACCCCUUCCACUCCUUCAUCUCUAAUUAGUGCUUCCUUAAGCUAUGAGAGUGAAACAAGUAAUGUGACAUCACCACAAGAUUCACCUGGUAGAUUAUCCCAAAUUCCACCAAGAUCUUUAAUAACUAAACCAACAAAAAGCAGUAACACAGACAACCCGGAUGGAAAUGUGAAUAAUAGUUCACAAACAUCGAGGCAAACGGGAGAGGUCUAAUAGAGACUGAUGAGCUCCAUGGAGAUUAGAUGCUCGGCACAGAUUGUGAAUGCAGCCUCCUUCUGGGUAACUGGAACAAACCAAUUGGCCUGAUGCAUAAAUAUCACGUACAGUGCAUUGUGAUGCUGCAUGGUGUUGUUCGUAUUUAAGUGGUAUCUUCCUGGCUGGCAGUCUGCCUCGACGACUGUUUGGUGUGGGCUCCCUGCUGAUCCGCUUGUCUGCUUGCCUGGGUUCUGGUUCUUUCCCAGGUUGCCAGAUUCGGGUUCCUGGUAACUUUACGGAAGACCUGGGUUCGGGUUUGGCUGGGCCUAGUGUAAUUACCUAAGUGUAAUUCUCCUCCUUCCUUUGGUUUAGCCUGACGUACGGGCGCCCAGAGGUGGACUUCUCAGCAUGGUCUCGGCGUCUCCCAUUGGACGUGGCGCCAUUCUCUGACUGAAGCUAGAGAAUAUAGGUAGAGGUAGAUAUAGAUAAAUAGAUAUAGAUAUGAGGUAGAUAAUUUUUGGUAUGACUGGUCGAGGGGGGGGUUCCUGUACUGUACAGGUACUGUAUUUCUUUCCCCGGUCCAUGGUUUAAGGACCAUAGUAUAAUUUAUAAGUACACUGUGGUAUAAACCAGGACAACGACCAUACGUUAUGCUUUUCUUGAUGCAUGGGUUCCGUUUGCUUUUUUUUUUUUUGUCAACCUCGGCGAUGCACGGUCGUAAUCCGCAUUUUUUAUUU
rnacentral:misc_RNA from 1 species